UUGGCGGACGGGUGAGUAACGCGUGGGUAACCUGCCUCACACUGGGGGAGUAACAGUUAGAAAUAGCUGCUAAUACCGCAUAAGCGCACAGUUCCGCAUGGAACAGUGUGAAAAACUCCGGUGGUGUGAGAUGGACCCGCGUCUGAUUAGCCAGUUGGCGGGGUAACGGCCCACCAAAGCGACGAUCAGUAGCCGGCCUGAGAGGGUGAACGGCCACAUUGGGACUGAGACACGGCCCAAACUCCUACGGGAGGCAGCAUG
rnacentral:rRNA from 1 species